AUUGAACGCUGGCGGCAUGCUUUACACAUGCAAGUCGAACGGUAACAGGCCGCAAGGUGCUGACGAGUGGCGAACGGGUGAGUAAUGCAUCGGAACGUGCCCAGUCGUGGGGGAUAACUGAUCGAAAGAGCAGCUAAUACCGCAUACGAUCUAUGGAUGAAAGCGGGGGACCGUAAGGCCUCGCGAGAUUGGAGCGGCCGAUGUAAGAUUAGGUAGUUGGUGGGGUAAAGGCUCACCAAGCCAACGAUCUGUAGCUGGUCUGAGAGGGCGACCAGCCACACUGGGACUGAGACACGGCCCAGACUCCUACGGGAGGCAGCAGUGGGGAAUAUUGGACAAUGGGGGCAACCCUGAUCCAGCAAUGCCGCGUGUGUGAAGAAGGCCUUCGGGUUGUAAAGCACUUUAGGUUGGGAAGAAGGUGGUUAUUUUAAGAGAUAGAUCACUUGACGGUACCGACAGAAUAAGCACCGGCUAACUCUGUGCCAGCAGCCGCCGUAAGAC
rnacentral:rRNA from 1 species